CUUUUUGGGUUCUUUGAUUGAGCUUGGUUUCUUGAUUAAUUAACACCCCAUUAGUCAGUUUCGGUUCCUUUACGUGUUUUGAUGGAUCUGCCGCUGCGAUUUUUCUUAUUAUUUAUGAAGGGCGGAGGCAUUUCUUGAUCAUCUAAUUAUUUCCAAAAUUUUCAAUUCUUUUGUGAUGCUUUCUUAUUGAAUCUUUACCAAAACUCUUCUUCUUAUCCAACUAAUCUUUCAUGUCUAUAACUUCAUAGUCUGCUCUGUUUAUUUUCUUGAAGUUUUCUCUGUUUUUCAAGGAACUUUUUUAGAUGGGUUGUGCAAGCUCAAAACAAAAGCGUUGCCGG
rnacentral:misc_RNA from 1 species